AUAUACGUCUUAACGUGUGCGUAAAAAAGUACUGAUCUACACACAUUAUCGAAAUUAACGUCUAUAAACUCGUGUCUUAUGUUAUCAUAAAAUUAUCGACGAAAAUUUCCAAAUAAUCUGGAAAUUACUUCCAGAUCGAAAUAACGCAGCUAUCAGGCAAACGUUCAAUCGACGAUCGGUCCCGCGAUAAUUUGAAAGCGGUGCAUUUUCAGUAGUUGGCAAAUAGACACGUACCGUCUCUAUUGCCGUACAAAGUGCAUUCACACGAGAUACUCUGACGCACUUUCAAGAAAGUGUACACACAUGUAGUAUACUUUUCGAUGACGGGGAGGAAUCAAUGGAAAAUCGCGAGGUUCGUUUUGAAUAAGAACAGCGGCUAAAUACACAGCGGGAGAUAGAAAGAAAGAAAUACGAGAAGGCGGCAGGAUAUUCGGGAGUGACCCGGCGAAUAGAAUAGAGAAGGAAAAGAGACGAGCAGAGAGCGAUAGGGAGGGAGGAAGACAAAGAGAGAGAGUGCGAGAGUGCGCGCGUGAUCUCUCGGUGCGAGGAGUGACGGUGGUCGUCGUGUCGCGCUGCGAACCGUCAGAAUCGGUCGGUUGUACAGAGACGAGUAUAACCUAUAUCCGAAACGCCGCGGCGCUGUUACAUUCUCCGUGCCUCCUCCCUGGCGGAUGGCGGCCGCACCUCCUCCUUCUCGCCGAUUUUAAUCUCGUUAGCGGACACGUGCGCGCCCCCGCGCCUACAGACCACUAUACGACGACCUACCGUGCCGGGGCUUCGCCAAUCUGGUUUGGUCUAACAGGAUUCUCGAGCGACCGAGGGUUGAUAAAAGGCUGCGUACCGAGCGGGCGCGGCGCGAAUCGCAGGAGGAGUUGCUCCGCUCGAGGUGUGGGCGCUCGUGCAGCAGCGGCAAUAACAGCAGACGACCUCGUCAUCGUCUUCUAUCCUGUCGUCCUCGGUUCGUUGUUUCCGUCUACGUUACCUCUCGUAAUCGCGUUCGGUCGUUUGGCAUACGUUCGCGUAUAGGCUGCGUGUGUGCGCACACGGUGCAUAUUCAGUGUGAAUCCAUCUCGUCGCGUGUGCGGUACAGAAAGAGUACCCUAAAGAGAGAGAGAGAGAGAGAUAGAAAAAGAAAGAGAGAGAGCGAGAAAGAAAGAGCGUGAAUCGAAGAAAGAGAGAGAGAGAGUGAUAGGAUAGGAAAACGAAACAGAGAGGGGGUGUGUGUGUGUGUGUGUGUUAGAAAGAGAAAGAGUGUGUAAGGGAGAGACAGAGAGCGGCCGAGAGAGAAGGAGAUAGAGCGCCGGUGGGUUACCACACCCAACCGCGCCGGGGACCGAGUGAACGAGUGAACGAGCCGUACGAGAGCUCUCUCGCGAGUAGUACGCGGGUUCAGCGGGGGACCCAGGGACCGACGGUCGAGAUUCGACAAAGUACAGUCGGGACUCUCUAGAUCUCGAUCCAACGGGCCUCGCUCUCGUAUCACCAGAAUCUCUCGUCGAAAUCGCGCCGCGACUCCGAAAGCUGAGAACGUGUGCGCGCGUGUCUCCCCCGCUUCCUCGACGUCUCUCGCGAGUGCGUUUCACGUUUCGUCGCUGGCAGAACGUGUGCGUGCGUGAAUAAAGGAGAAUAAAGAUCGAGUAGAAAGAUCGGAGAACCAGGAGCGCGCGCCUGUCCAGGAAACACGUCCGGGACGAGAAAGAAGUAAGAGGAAGAAGAGGUGAAGUACAGGGAAACGGGCAAAGAAACGUUGCUCUUUCUCUCUGCCGGUUGGUAUCGGUGGAGAAGAGAGACGAUUCGAAAAGGGAAACGAGCGGAGGAAAAGCACAGAAGAGAGAAGCUACCGGCCGAGGUUCGUGCGUGUGCGUACAUGUGUUGAUGUGUCGCUGGCGUCGUCGAGCCCUACCAGGACUGCUCCGUCGCCGCGUGUGCCGACAUCGUUGAUAUAGUUACGGGGAUUCCGGAGACGCGCGUUCGUCGAGUCCACGUUUACGUUCUAUUUGCCGCUUGUCGCCGUCUCGUACGUUGUCGUCAUCGCCGUCGCCGCGAACAGAAAAAAAAGUGGUGGUGAAUCGUGCUAGUGGCGGUAGUACUGGUGGUGGUGCGGACGAUCAUUGGGGAAAGAAGUUUCAUCGGCUCAGUGUCAGGACGAGAGGGAAUAAA